rnacentral:sRNA from 1 species
CUUCCUCGAUCUGCUGCGGGCUGAUGAAGUGGAUGUGGCUGUCGAUGCCGCCCGCCGUGACGAUGUUGCCCUCGCAGCUGAUGAUCUCGGUGCCCGGGCCGAUGACGAUGUCCACGCCGGGUUGCGUGUCGGGGUUGCCGGCCUUGCCGAUGGCCGCGAUGCGCCCGUCCUUGAGGCCGAUGUCGGCCUUGACGAUGCCCCAGUGGUCGAUGAUCAAGGCAUUGGUCAGCACCGUGUCCACCGCGCCGCCGGCCUCGGGGCCGCUGCCCGUGCCGUCCCGCGUG